rnacentral:rRNA from 1 species
UAGGGAAUAUUGGACAAUGGGGGCAACCCUGAUCCAGCCAUGCCGCGUGAGUGAAGAAGGCCCUCGGGUUGUAAAGCUCUUUUGUCCGGAAAGAAAAGCUUCGGGUUAAUACCCCGGGGUUCUGACGGUACCGGAAGAAUAAGCACCGGCUAACUUCGUGCCAGCAGCCGCGGUAAUACGAAGGGUGCAAGCGUUACUCGGAAUUACUGGGCGUAAAGCGUGCGUAGGUGGUUGUUUAAGUCUGAUGUGAAAGCCCUGGGCUCAACCUGGGAAUGGCAUUGGAAACUGGGCAGCGAGAGUGCGGUAGAGGGUAGUGGAAUUCCCGGUGUAGCAGUGAAAUGCGUAGAGAUCGGGAGGGACAUCUGUGGCGAAGGCGACUGCCUGGACCAGCACUGACACUGAGGCACGAAAGCGUGGGGAGCAAACAG